GUCUGCUUUUUGUUCCUCCAGAAUUUGAGUCCUGUUAAUGUAGUGGCAAAGAAGAAAUUUUCCUUUUCUUUUGUGCUAGUCUUGCAAGUUUGUCUACCAGUAAAAGAGCAAAGUUUCCUUCCUUUCUUGUUUUCUUUCUUUUUAUUUGUUCUUUUGUCCCCUCUCCCCCCACCCCACCUUUUUAUUUUUCCUUUAAAAAUUCACCUGGCAAAAAAUAAUAAUAAUAAAUAAAUAAAUGAAGCUAUCACUUUAUAAGAAUCAUUUUCUAGUAAUGCAAACAAAUUAUUUUUUAACAAAAAAUAAAAUAAAAUAAAUAAAAUUAGACUUCCUUCCCUCCAUAUAUAUCUAUCUAUCUAUAUUUAUCCAGCCCGAGUAUUUCCAAUGUCAUUUUUGCAAAUUAGAGCAGGACAAAUUUUACAUUUCCAGGGCACAUCUGUUGUAAUGCGAAGCAUUAUUUGGCAAGCAGUUCAUCACCAAGGCAGUAGCUAUGAUUCUAGAAGCUAAGAGGUGUCUAUAGAGCUAGAGGGGGCUUCUGCAUGUGAAAUGCUGUAAUUCGUAGGCGUUAAAAGUGCUGAAUGGGCAGUCUGACCCCCACGUGGGCACCUGCACUACCAAUUGUUAGAGGAAAUUCACUCCCUCCUAGUGAGAGUUGAAAGGUCAAAUUAUUUUGAGGUAAUUCUUUUUUUUUAAAGUUUUCUGUUAACAGGAAAAUUUAUUUAUUUGACAGGAUUUUAAGUAAUGUAGAGAUACAAAUGGUAAAUUAGCAGCACAUAUAAUUUUUUUUAAAUUUAUGAUCCAUUUUGUAUGGUCUCAAGUUGGAUGACCUCAUUACUAAUAUUUGUUGUAAAAGUGAAACUUGUUUGCCGACCAAUAAACAACUGAUUGAGAUUUAGAA
rnacentral:lncRNA from 1 species